AUUGAACGCUGGCGGCAGGCCUAACACAUGCAAGUCGAACGUGUUGAGGACGGGUGUGUAAUGUCUGGGAAACUGCCCGAUGGAGGGGGAUAACUAUUGGAAACGGUAGCUAAUCCCGCAUACCAUCGGAUGUGCCCAGAUGGGAUUAGCUAGUAGGUGGGGUAAUGGCUCACCUAGGCGACGAUCCCUAGCUGGUCUGCAAGGAUGACCAGCCCCACUGGCACUGAGACACGCGCCAUGGUCCUACGGGAGGCAUGAGUGGGGAAUAUUGCACAAUGGGCGCAAGCCUGAUGCAGCCAUGCCGCGGGGAUGAAGAUGUCCUUGGGUUUGUAAAGUACUUUCAGCGAGGAGGCGUUACGCGCAGAAGAAGCCCCGGCUAACUCCGUGCGAGCAGCCGCGGUAAUUC
rnacentral:rRNA from 1 species